rnacentral:rRNA from 1 species
CCUACGGGCGGCAGCAGUGGGGGAUAUUGCACAAUGGGGGGAACCCUGAUGCAGCGACGUCGCGUGGGUGAAGAAGCGCCUCGGCGCGUAAAGCCCUGUCAGCAGGGAAGAAAAUGACGGUACCUGAAGAAGAAGCCCCGGCUAACUACGUGCCAGCAGCCGCGGUAAUACGUAGGGGGCACGCGUUAUCCGGAUUUACUGGGUGGAAGGGGGGCGCAGACGGCGAUGCAAGCCAGGAGUGAAAGCCCGGGGCCCAAACCCGGGACUGGUCUUGGAACUGCGUGGCUGGAGGGCAGGAGGGGCAGGCGGAAUGCCUGGUGUAGCGGUGAAAUGCGUAGAUAUCAGGAGGAACACCGGUGGCGAAGGCGGCCUGCUGGACUGCAACUGACGUUGAGGCCCGAAAGCGUGGGGAGCAAACAGGAUUAGAUACCCGUGUAGUC